AUGGAAAAUAAGGUUUGUAAAAUUUUAGACCUUAGACAUGUUGUUCUGUAUGUUUGAGGGUGUCAUUUUGUAUAAUCCUGUAAGUGGGUUUCUUUUUAACGUGUGUUUGGUAUUAGAAUGAUUAGUGGUCAAAUGGCCAGUUCUUAGUGGUUUUCAAGGCCUCUGUACGUCUUUGAAAAGCUUUGUUCUUGUGGAUUUGAUACAAAAUUUGAGUUUGAUGACAGGUAAUGUCUCAAUGUAGAAUAUUCACACUUUUAUGACAUUUAUUCUCAUGACUUAUUUACUGCAUCCUUUAUAGUGUGUGUUUAUGUGAUAUGUCAAAGCCUUUUCACUAAGUAUAGUUACUAUACUUCAUUAAACCUUAUUGCAAUACGAAACUGAUGGUUCAAUAAAAUGAUUAUUUUCCUUUGUGGUGUUGUUUAUUUGUUGUGAACCAGCGGUGAUGUAACUAAUACCAAGAAUCGAAAAAUAUUAAAGACGAGUCACACAACUGGGACAACAACUUUUGCUCAAAUACGGAAUGAUUAUGCUGAAGAACAUGAUGGAAGUGAACCUGAUCGUGUCACUUUUUCAAAAUGACACACACAAGAGGACCUAAGCAACUCCCAAUUGAUGCCGAAUCUGCCAGAAUGAUGUUGUCGUUUGAAAAUCUGGAAGUGAAGGUUCGUGAGCGUGGUGAAGAGGUAACAACAGAGGUUCGCAAUAGGAUUUAUGCAGAAGUGAUGGGGCCAGAGAAGCGGAAUCAAGUGCGGGGCUUUGGCCUUGGAGUUGGCUGGGCAAAUGUACCAGGAAUUAUUACUGAGCAGCGAGGUAUUUCUAGGGAAGUGAAGUAUCUUCGGGAAGCUUAUGAAGCUCAGAAACAAGCCACUGCUACUGCGGAAGAAAAAAUGACUAGUAUGAUGCAUGAGGCAAAUGAGAAAGCAGAAAAGACGAAAAAAUAGCAAGAAGAAAGCAUACAAAGGCUUAGGGCCGAAUAAAAGGAGAAUUUGAGGUUAGCAAAGGUGCAAAUGGCUGAGCAAUUCAAAGCCAUGUUGGCACAUGUGGGCAUCAACAUUGGUUCAUUUGGAGUGGGUGCUCUACAAAGUACUUCAACUCAACAGCAAGGGUGUGGAAGCUCACACGCUCAGAUUUCAACGUUUUUUUAAGGUGGAAAUGACAAGAAUGUGCAGUGUGGACCUCCAAUUUGUAGUGCUAUGAUGCAUGAGGACUGCCAAAGUAAGAAUACUGGUUAGUUGUCAUCAAGCAUCUCUUGUAGAUGUGUAUUUUGUUUAUAUAUUGCUGGUUUAACCAUUAGAACAUUUGAAUUGGGAUACAAGCUUGGAUAUGUUAUAUUUUGUUGUAAAUAGAGAAUCCCGGGUAUAGCCAGCAUAGGAUAACAUGUAUUUUUUGUUUAACAUUUGGAUGGGUUGUAUUGUUAGGUUGCAUGAAUCGGUCUUAGCCAAGAACAUGGGUUGUGUAAUAUAUUAGCUUCACUAUUUUAGUGCUAAUGUUAAUGAAUGUAAUGUUGAUUUAUGUUUAGUUUGUAAUGGAUAAUUUGUAA